rnacentral:rRNA from 1 species
CAGUCGCCGCGGUAAUACGAGGGGGGCAAGCGUUGUUCGGAAUUAUUGGGCGUAAAGGGUGCGUAGGCGGUUUGAUAAGUCUUGUGUGAAAUCUCUGGGCUCAACCCAGAGUCUGCACAGGAAACUGUCGGGCUUGAGAGUGGGAGAGGUGAGUGGAAUUUCCGGUGUAGCGGUGAAAUGCGUAGAUAUCGGAAGGAACACCUGUGGCGAAAGCGGCUCACUGGACCAUUUCUGACGCUGAUGCACGAAAGCUAGGGGAGCAAACAGGAUUAGAGACCCCAGUAGUCCCUGUCUCUUAUAC